rnacentral:rRNA from 1 species
CGGACGAUGCUUACCUGCAAGUCGACUGGAAUUCACCUUCGGGUGAUAGUACGGUGGCGGACGGGUGAGUAACGCGUAAAGAACUUGCCCUCUAGACUGGGACAACUGUUGGAAACGACAGCUAAUACCGGAUAUUAUGAGAACCUCGCAUGGGGAACUUAUGAAAGGCUAUAUGCGCUAGAGGAGAGCUUUGCGUGCCAUUAGGUAGUUGGUAGGGUAAUGGCCUACCAAGCCGACGAUGGCUAGCCGGCCUGAGAGGGUGAUCGGCCACAAGGGGACUGAGACACGGCCCUUACUCCUACGGGAGGCAGCAGUGGGGAAUAUUGGACAAUGGACCAAAAGUCUGAUCCAGCAAUUCUGUGUGCACGAUGAAGGUUUUCGGAUCGUAAAGUGCUUUCAGUAGGGAAGAAAAAAAUGACGGUACCUACAGAAGAAGCGACGGCUAAAUACGUGCCAGCAGCCGCGGUAAUACGUAUGUCGCAAGCGUUAUCCGGAAUUAUUGGGCGUAAAGCGCGUCUAGGCGGUCUUUUAAGUCUGAUGUUAAAAUGCGGGGCUCAACUCCGUAUUGCGUUGGAAACUGGAAGACUAGAGUAUCAGAGAGGUGGGCGGAACUACAAGUGUAGAGGUGAAAUUCGUAGAUAUUUGUAGGAAUGCCGAUUGGGAAGCCAGCUCACUGGAUGAAUACUGACGCUGAAGCGCGAAAGCGUGGGGAGCAAACGGGAUUAGAUACCCCGGUAGUCCACGCCGUAAACGAUGAUCACUAAGUGUGGGGGGUCGAACCUCCGUGCUCAAGCUAACGCGAUAAGUGAUCCGCCUGGGGAGUACGCACGCAAGUGUGAAACUCAAAGGAAUUGACGGGGACCCGCACAAGCGGUGGAGCAUGUGGUUUAAUUCGACGCCACGCGAGGAACCUUACCAGCCCUUGACAUCCUCAGAACUUAGCAGAGAUGCUUUGGUGCACUUCGGUGAACUGAGUGACAGGGGGGCUGGCUGCCGCAGCUCGGGCCUGG